UACAGAGGGUGCGAGCGUUAAUCGGAAUUACUGGGCGUAAAGCGUGCGUAGACGGUUGCAUAAGUCGGAUGUGAAAUCCCCGGGCUCAACCUGGGAAUGGCCGUUGAAACUGGCGAACUGGAGUGUGGCAGAGGGGGGUGGAAUUCCGCGUGUAGCAGUGAAAUGCGUAGAGAUGCGGAGGAACACCGAUGGCGAAGGCAGCCCCCUGGGCUGACACUGACGCUCAGGCACGAAAGCGUGGGGAGCAAACAGG
rnacentral:rRNA from 1 species